rnacentral:rRNA from 1 species
UACGGGGGGAGCAAGCGUUGUUCGGAUUUACUGGGCGUAAAGGGCGCGUAGGCGGCCAGCACAAGUCAGUUGUGAAAUCUCCGAGCUUAACUCGGAAAGGUCAACUGAUACUGUGCGGCUAGAGUGCAGAAGGGGCAACUGGAAUUCUUGGUGUAGCGGUGAAAUGCGUAGAUAUCAAGAGGGAACACCUGCGGCGAAGGCGGGUUGCUGGGCUGACACUGACGCUGGAGGCGCGGAAAGCUAGGGGAGCGAACGGG